rnacentral:rRNA from 1 species
GAUGAACGCUGGCGGCGUGCUUAACACAUGCAAGUCAUGGGGGCCCGAAGCGCAAGCUUGGGGCAACCGGCGAACGGGUGCGUAACACGUGAGCAACCUACCCAGGUGUGGGGGAUAGCCGUCCCAACGGACGGGUAAUACCGCAUACGCUCGACACGAGGCAUUUCGAGUCGAGGAAACCUUCGGGGCACCAUGAGGGGCUCGCGGCCUAUCAGCUAGUUGGCGAGGUAACGGCUCACCAAGGCUACGACGGGUAGCUGGUCUGAGAGGAUGACCAGCCACAUUGGGACUGAGAAACGGCCCAGACUCCUACGGGAGGCAGCAGUGGGGAAUCUUGCGCAAUGGCCUAACGGCUGACGCAGCGACGCCGCGUGAGGGAUGACGCUCUUCGGAGUGUAAACCUCUUUUGCCUGGAACGAAUUGCCACCAUCAGGUGGCUUGACGGUACCGGGUGAAUAAGCACCGGCUAACUCCGUGCC